GCAUAUCAAUAAGCGGAGGAAAAGAAACCAACAGGGAUUGCCCUAGUAACGGCGAGUGAAGCGGCAACAGCUCAAAUUUGAAAUCUGGCGCAAGCCCGAGUUGUAAUUUGUAGAGGAUACUUCGGCGUCGGCCCCGUUCUAAGUUCCUUGGAACAGGACGUCCUAGAGGGUGAGAACCCCGUCUUCGAUCGGGUCGCCUUCGCCAUGUGAAGUUCCUUCGACGAGUCGAGUUGUUUGGGAAUGCAGCUCUAAGCGGGAGGUAAAUUUCUUCUAAAGCUAAAUAACGGCCAGAGACCGAUAGCGCACAAGUAGAGUGAUCGAAAGAUGAAAAGCACUUUGGAAAGAGAGUUAAAAAGUACGUGAAAUUGUUGAAAGGGAAGCUCAUGCUGCCAGACUUGGCCGCGCCUCUUCGGUGGCGCGGGCAGGCCAGCAUCAGUUCGGGCGGCCUGAUAAAGACCUUUGGAAUGUAGCUCCUCGGAGUGUUAUAGCCUAGGGUGUAAUGGGGUCAGCCUGGACUGAGGAUCGCGUUCGCUAGGAUGCUGGCGUAAUGGCAGUAUGCGACCCGUCUUGAAACACGGACC
rnacentral:rRNA from 1 species